AUUGAUACCGCUGAUGUUUUUUUAAAAACAUCGUUUGGAGUUGUUUUCGUGUGGGAUUCUGCUGUACGCAUGAUAAACUAAAUAAAUCCUGCUGCGGAGUCAUAAGUAAACAUGAUAAGUUAGUAAGAUUGACGAAAAUAUUUUAAGGUAUUUACAGCGGCACCCACAGUCUGAUGACAGCUCCACAGUACGCUUGCUUGAGACAUUUUGCCAUCACCCGAAAUCUGCCUCGAGAUACGGUUAAUGAGAUGUUGGAAAUUUUGAGAAGUAACACCAAUAUGGACCUACCGAAAGACUGUCGAACCCUUCUUAAAACGUACGCUAAUAUUGGAAAAGAGAUGCAAAGUAUACAAGGUGGGGAGUUUUGGUAUAAAGGCAUCGAGAAAUCGUUGCAAAAUUAUUUCAAGUUAGUUUUACAAUCGAAAAUAGGUCAUUUGAAAAUAUCCUAAAGUUUAUGUAUCUUUAUUCAGAUCUUCUACUCCAUGCGCAGAGCAAUUUACGAUCCAGUUCUCUGUUGACGGCCUUCCCCUGCAUAAAAGUGGACGAAUGCAAGUUUGGCCCAUUUUAAUGAAAGUGGAAGAGGUAAAAAAUGCACCAAUAAUGAUGGUUGCUGCAUUUUGUGGUACCGAAAAACCGAGAAGUGUUGAAGAAUACUUACGUCAACUUGUGGAGGAAGCAAACAAACUUUAUCUUAAUGGAGUUUGCAUAGGAGAUAAAACAAUCAAAUUUGAAAUCCGAGCUUUUAUAGCAGAUUCUCUUGCAAGAGCAUUCAUAAAGUCAACAUGCUAUUUUAAUGCUGUACAUGGAUGCUUGAGAUGCACUUGCGUUGGUGUGUACCAUCCCACUGGACAUAAGGUGGUGUUCGAUUGUGUCGGGGCUCCAUUACGAACCGAUGAUGGAUUCCGAGAUAGGGAAUGCAUUCCACACCAUCAGCCUUUGCGAUCGCCUCUAGAAGAUCUGUUGCUUUUUGAUAUGAUUGAACACGUUCCUACGAGUGACCGUUUGCAUUUGAUUGAUCUUGGUGUAACUCGAAAAAUUAUCUAUGGAAUAUGGAUCGGAAAGUUAGUAUCCCUUUCUAGAUUGUCUGAUGCUCAGAAAGAGUUAGCAACGAUUUUUUUUACUGCGUUGCAGCUUCCCUCAGAGAUCAAUAGGAAAAUUCACGAUCCGUAUUGUAGGGAUCAAGAGUGAGAGAGAGAGAGAAGUUUAGUGAAAUCAGAGAGAGCGAAAAAUUGAAACAUGCAAAAAUGAGGAUGAGAGAGGAGAGAUUGGACGAAAGCAGAGAUAGAGAUGGAGAAGGCGCGCGGAAAAGGAGACGGACGUCUACCGGUAGCUAGCGGUAGCUGGGAUCAAGAGAGAGUGAACUCCGAGAGUGAAUCGAGAGAGAGAGUGUGAGAGAGGGACAGAUCGUGAGAUCAGGGAGAGAAGACAAGUCAGGCGACAGGGAGAAAUAAAGGAGCCUCGGGUCAGUCUUGUGGUUGAUCGCAAAGAGAUCGGUUGAGCGUGAUACAAUAAAAAAAAAGAAAUUGAAUAAAAAAAGCCGAAUAAAUAAUUAAAAUGUGUGACGAUUACGACACGUAUUAUAUGCACAAAUGGAAGGGCACGCAGUUUAGAACAUUUUUGCAUUAUUGCAGCGUUAUAGUUAUUAAAGAACUUGUACCUGAAAGGGUAUACAAUCAUUAUUUACUUUAUUUUUGCGGGAUUACUAUAUUUUCAACAAAAUUCCAUCGCAAGCAUUGGAAAACUGCAGAGGUGUUCUUAAAUGUUUUUGUCCGUAUCUUUGGUGCAAUAUAUGGUAGUGAACAUGUUACAAGCAAUGUUCAUAACCUUCAACAUAUUGCUAAAGAUGUUGAAAAUUUGGGACCAUUGGAUAAUUUUUCAAGCUAUGACUUUGAAAACUAUCUUGGCAUUUUAAAACGCUCUGUACGUUCCGGAUUUAAAUGCGGUGUACAAAUUGCUGCUCGGUCUGAGGAACGUGCUAAUGUGCAUUCGCCCAAUCAUUCCGAUUGUCAAUAUCCUCGGAUAGUAUACAAUUGUAAUGGGAUUCAAUUAACUGCCAACUUUUUGUUGAGAGCAUCAACAAGAGAUUAAUGGUUUUUAACCAAACGUAACGAAGUCGUCAAAUUUAUGAAACUUAAUACUAAUCCCUCGUUGUUCGUUGUUGGAAUGCGAUAUGAGUAUGUAACUGAUGUUUUUCAUAUACGUCUUAUUGAAAACGAUGAGGAGAUCGAAUUAUCAUCUGCAGAUAUCUACAUCUACGAGGCUGACGAUUGUAUACCUACAGCAGUAGAAGAAUUCUCUUUGCACCAUAUAAGAUGUAAGCUGAUAGCUGUGACUUCCCCGGCAAACCCUGGAUUAAAGCAGUUUGUCCCUCUUUUGCAUACUUUUGUUAUUGACAGUUAAAUAUAUAAUAAAGAUGAUGUAAAACUUAGAAAAAAGAUUGAAUAUUGAUAAUUCAUAUAGUUAUGUGUUUAUUUUGACGUGCGUUGGCAAUAAGAAAAUAGAAACACACUUAUAUUUUUAAUAUUUCCCUAGUAUUUCACCACCCGCUCAUUCUCCUACGAUUAAUUACAACGCGUGUACGGUUUUUUACAGUAUCCCUUUCUAACAUUUUUAUAGUUUUUAUAAUUACUAUGAGCGUUUUUUAGUUUUUUCUUCAUAAAUUCUUCAACUUCGGCAUCCGUUACAAGGAAAAUAUUUUUUAUAGCUACUUGUUUGAAUAACUUUAAUAUUCUAGGAUAACUAUUAAAUGCAAUUUUCGUACAUUGUCCACCGCCCCGCCAACAACACUGCACCAACAAAACUCUGCUAAAUAAUAAUCUUAAACAAUCGUUCAUUAUAGAACUAGGUUCUGUAUAACCUUGAAACUUACGAAUUAGACCAUUUGCCAUAUUGUUGAACGAAUCAGAAGAGCCCAGAAGUAUUUCAAAUUCAUCCAGCUCUACUUUUGAAGUAAUGUGAGGAAACACUUCAGUGCAAUGUGUCAAUCUAGUUUGUGCCCUAUUUUCAACAAAACUAUCAAAUUGUAUUCUCAGAGUGGAAACGCUUUUUUAUGAUUGAUAAUUCUUUCGUGACAUGCUGCUCAAAGUCAUCUCGAGAAGAUGAUUUCGGAUCUUUAACGAGAAAAGCCGUAUUUUCAUAAGUGUUGGCUGCUUCCAAAUAAUUCUGAUGCCUUUGGUCGGACAUUUUUGACGACUGAAUAGACUGUGUAAAAGAAACCUCAUUAUCAUUGACAUCGGUAAUUGUCCAACGUACUAGGCAUCUAUCAUCGGUAUCAUUUGGCAAUGGCACUGGACGUGGGGAAUGAUUUUCAAUGACAUUUUCUUUGUGUUCUGUAGGACGAAUAACGCGUUAGUUGUUGCUAACAUCUAACGAGAGAGUUGGCUGGGACAACGAAGCCUCAUGCGCACUACUCCCUGAACCUUCAAUGCAUCUGCUACCAGUAACAUUAGUUGAUACAAUUUUUCGAGGUGAGGAUGUCAGAUCUUUUAUAUUCUGAUUUUGGAUAUCAGUAACUUCUGUACAACGUACAUUGCGUCGUAGCGCUGGAAUUUGGUUUGGAGGAUGAUUGUGCUGAAAUGGUAGUAACUGCAGCCGCAUUGUCUAUGUGCCUCGAACCAGCUAACGAAAGAAUACGCCGAGGAGACGCAACCUCCAAAUCCACCGUUGUUUUUAAAGGUACUGUCUGAGUGGUAACAGUCAAGUAAGGUAAUCUUUGUUUCAUGAUAUUCAACCAUGUCAUUGUUGAAGAAUCGAUGUUUUCCAUUCUAUAAGCUGUAAGGGGCAAAUUGAUGUUAUUCAUAGAUUUUAAGUAGCAUUUAAAGUAUCGUCUGUUUCAUUAAUUUACCUUGUAUGUUUUAUUAGUUUAGUGCCAAGUGCGUUAUGUUUCAAGCAUCUUUAACCAAAUAUACACGUUGUAUCGUUAAAUCACUUUCUUAAAAUUGACUUUCGCUGUACUUGCUUGUUUUCGGCGUGAGAGAAAAAAAGUUAAAACAUAACGCGAUUUUUGGCAUACAGGUCAUACCAACCAAACUCCACUGACAGCCAGAGAGAUUCAAUACACUCCUUCAUACACGAAUUAAAAAAAAGUAUUGCUUACCACUUGCUAAAACUUUAAUGAACCAUUUUGUUAUACAAAUUACGUCGUGUAUUUUUAUGUUUACAUAGAGUUACAUUUAAAAAUUGUAAGAAAUUGUUUCUACUAUAGGAAACCAACUGUCAUAUUUCAAACCAACAUGGCGGCUACAAUUUCACCCACAAUUAUUUCAUCACCUUGUUUGCUAGAAGUAAACAAGUGCGUUGACAGUAGUUUGUUUAUGCAAUCAAGCGGCGUGUAUGUGAUGUAUUAGUUAAAAAAUAAUUGAUCCUUAUAUAAUGUAUCAUGAAAGUAAUAUUUUGGGUUAGAAUGCACAGUAAUCAAUAUUAUUUUAAUUAGCUACUUAAGGGGCAGUCCACGUUUUGGCCAUAGAACAUACGUGUUUUUGUAAAGAACAUGUAAACCAAAAUUUGAGGUUAUGUACUUAUAUUGUUUCCUUUACACCCGUACCAUAUAUUUCCAAUCAUGAUUGUACACCCUAAUUCCGCAUCUUUAAAGCAAAAAAGGAAAGUGCAAAGUGUUUCUGGUAAGUUGAAUUGUGUAAACAACUUUUCUCUUUGAAUUGUAGGAAUUUUGUCAUCAUACAGAUCCAGAGGUCAUGAGGUCAGAGGUGCUAGAGGUAUGAAGAUUACCCGGUUGAAAAUAGCUUAGGAAAGCUUAAGUUUAGGAAAGCUGCAAAGGCCGGAAAGAGCUAUCAAAAUAAGAAUCUUCAUGUAGCAGAAAGCCCAUUAGAACCGCAAAUAUGAUACACAGUUUUGUGACAUAUCUACUAGCUGAUAGGCGCACAGCUUUCCGGAAAUGAGUUUGUUUCUUCUCACCAGAAAGGCAUGAAUGAAAGCAAAAACAAAAAUUCUAACGUGAUUAUCAAACAACUCAUGGACUCUUUUAAAUGAAGCGCAUGCUCUUAAAAAAUGCCUA